GAUGAACGCUGGCGGCGUGCCUAAUACAUGCAAGUCGAGCGAACAGACGAGGAGCUUGCUCCUCUGACGUUAGCGGCGGACGGGUGAGUAACACGUGGAUAACCUACCUAUAAGACUGGGAUAACUUCGGGACACCGGAGCUAAUACCGGAUAAUAUAUUGAACCGCAUGGUUCAAUAGUGAAAGACGGUUUUGCUGUCACUUAUAGAUGGAUCCGCGCCGCAUUAGCUAGUUGGUAAGGUAACGGCUUACCAAGGCCACGAUGCGUAGCCGACCUGAGAGGGUGAUCGGCCACACUGGAACUGAGACAGGGUCCAGACUCCUACGGGAGGCAGCAGUAGGGAAUCUUCCGCAAGGGGCGAAAGCCUGACGGAGCAACGCCGCGUGAGUGAUGAAGGUCUUCGGAUCGUAAAACUCUGUUAUUAGGGAAGAACAAAUGUGUAAGUAACUAUGCACGUCUUGACGGUACCUAAUCAGAAAGCCACGGCUAACUACGUG
rnacentral:rRNA from 1 species